rnacentral:rRNA from 1 species
GAGUGGCGGACGGGUGAGUAACACGUAGGUAACCUGCCCAGAAGCGGGGGACAACACUUGGAAACAGGUGCUAAUACCGCAUAACAAUUCAAAUCGCAUGAUUUGAAUUUGAAAGAUGGUUCCGGCUAUCACUUCUGGAUGGACCUGCGGCGCAUUAGCUUGUUGGUGGGGUAAUGACCUACCAAGGCAGUGAUGCGUAGCCGAGUUGAGAGACUGAUCGGCCACAUUGGGACUGAGACACGGCCCAAACUCCUACGGGAGGCUGCAGUAGGGAAUCUUCCACAAUGGGCGAAAGCCUGAUGGAGCAACGCCGCGUGUGUGAUGAAGGCUUUCCGGUCGUAAAGCACUGUUGUAUUGGAAGAACAGCUAGAAUAGGGAAUGAUUUUUGUUUGACCGUACCUACCACAAAGGGACGGCUUAAUACGUGCCAACAGCCGCGGGAAUACAUAUGUCCCGAGCGUUUUUCGGAUUUAUUGGCCGUAAAGCGAGCGCAGACGGUUGAUUAAGUCUGAUGUGAAAGCCCCGGAGCUCAACUCCCGGAAUGGCAUGGGAAACUGGUUAACUUGAGUGCAGUAGAGGUAAGUGGAACUCCAUGUGUAGCGGUGGAAUGCGUAGAUAUAUGGAAGAACACCAGUGGCGAAGGCGGCUUACUGCACUGUAACUGACGUUGAGGCUCGAAAGUGUGGGUAGCAAACAGGAUUAGAUACCCUGGUAGUCCACACCGUAAACGAUGAACACUAGGUGUUAGGAGGUUUCCGCCUCUUAGUGCCGAAGCUAACGCAUUAAGUGUUCCGCCUGGGGAGUACGACCGCAAGGUUGAAACUCAAAGGAAUUGACGGGGACCCGCACAAGCGGUGGAGCAUGUGGUUUAAUUCGAAGCAACGCGAAGAACCUUACCAGGUCUUGACAUCCUUUGAAGCUUUUAGAGAUAGAAGUGUUCUCUUCGGAGACAAAGUGACAGGUGGUGCAUGGUCGUCGUCAGCUCGUGUCGUGAGAUGUUGGGUUAAGUCCCGCAACGAGCGCAACCCUUAUUGUUAGUUGCCAGCAUUCAGAUGGGCACUCUAGCGAGACUGCCGGUGACAAACCGGAGGAAGGCGGGGACGACGUCAGAUCAUCAUGCCCCUUAUGACCUGGGCUACACACGUGCUACAAUGGCGUAUACAACGAGUUGCCAACCCGCGAGGGUGAGCUAAUCUCUUAAAGUACGUCUCAGUUCGGAUUGUAGUCUGCAACUCGACUACAUGAAGUCGGAAUCGCUAGUAAUCGCGGAUCAGCACGCCGCGGUGAAUACGUUCCCGGGUCUUGCACUCACCGCCCGUCA